GAACGAAAUGAAUUGGCGUGCUACGUGUAGCAGCCGCUCCACGAGCCGAGCCGUGUCACGCCUUUGGAGGAGCUUUGCAAUGUCGCGCAUGAAUUGCUGCGUCGUCAACUGCACUAAUAGUUAUAAGAAAUGCCCUCCUGGAACAAAGUUCUUCCGUUUUCCGGGGCGACAAAGCCUCCUAGAUCAGCGGGAACGGUGGAUUCGCAGCGUACGCCGCGUGAAUGCAAACGGAACCGAGUGGCAGCCGGCAAAGUGGUCUCGGGUCUGCAGUGUACAUUUUGUUGGCGGAAAGUCAUCGACGGAUCCAGCUUCUCCCUCGUACGCUCCUGCUGUUUUUCCGCCGACGUACCGCAAAACUUCGGCGAUAGCAGAGCACAAGAGGUCUCGCUAUGAGAGCGCAUAUGGAGGUGCGUGGGUGCCAUCAGAAAAUUCACGGAUUUGUAGCAGACAUUUCGUGGGAAACUGCAAAAGUGAUAGCAGCAUGGAUCCGUCGUAUGUGCCCACGAUUUUCCCCCGGUGUACUACAAGAAACGGGCACCUACUGAUCCUCAAGCAGCACAGAGGUAUAUGCCCAGCAACAAGUUUUAUUUAUCAGAAAUUAAUAGUGCCUCAGUAAUGUAUGCACGCAUAGUUUCUGGAUCUCUACCUGUGCCUUCUCUCUAAUCAUAUUGAUCGAGACAGUUCACAAUGCAGUACCACAAUGUGUAUUUUGGCAAGGCAAAAAAUAAAAAUAAAAGACUAGAGGCUGGGCCACGUACAGUGGUGCAGUCAGGUGUCGGGGGUUUUAGACAAGAUAGGAUGAGUGGAUGAAGUUUGUUACAAAUACUAAAAAUAGAAGG